GCCCUAGUAGCUUAGCCACAAAGCGCCGGUCUUGUAAUCCGGAGAUCGAAGGUUAAAAUCCUUCCUAGUGCC
rnacentral:tRNA from 6 species